GACGAACGCUGGCGGCGUGCUUAACACAUGCAAGUCGAACGAAGUGGCGAACGGGUGAGUAACGCGUAAUCAACCUGCCCUUCAGAGGGGGACAACAGUUGGAAACGACUGCUAAUACCGCAUACUGAAGGAGGGGAUUGCGUCGGAUUAGCUAGUUGGAGGGGUAACGGCCCACCAAGGCGAUGAUCAGUAGCCGGGCGGGGGGGAUGAACGGCCAAAAUUGGACUGAGAAACGGCCCAGACUCCUACCGGAGGCAGCAGGUGGGAAUCUUCCGAAAUGGACGAAAGUCUGACGGAGCAAAGCCGCGGGAUAUAUGACGGGCUUCGGGUUGUAAAGCUCUGUUAAUCGGGACGCGGUACCGGAAUAGAAAGCCACGGCUAACUACGUGCCAGCAGCCGCGGUAAUAC
rnacentral:rRNA from 1 species